rnacentral:piRNA from 1 species
GACCCAUCGUUAAGAGUGCUACAUAAAGGU